rnacentral:rRNA from 1 species
UACGUAGGGUGCGAGCGUUGUCCGGAAUUAUUGGGCGUAAAGGGCUCGUAGGCGGCUUGUCGCGUCGACUGUGAAAUCCCGCGGCUCAACUGCGGGUCUGCAGUCGAUACGGGCAGGCUAGAGUUCGGUAGGGGAGACUGGAAUUCCUGGUGUAGCGGUGAAAUGCGCAGAUAUCAGGAGGAACACCGGUGGCGAAGGCGGGUCUCUGGGCCGAUACUGACGCUGAGGUGCGAAAGCGUGGGGAGCGAACAGG